CGCGGGGUGAGCAGUUUGGUAGCUCGCAAGGCUCAUACCUUGAGGUCACGGGUUCAAAUCUGUCUCCGCAU
rnacentral:tRNA from 1 species